rnacentral:rRNA from 1 species
UUACGACUGUCGGCAACGGAUAUCUAGGCUCUCGCAUCGAUGAAGAACGUAGCAAAAUGCGAUACUUGGUGUGAAUUGCAGAAUCCCGUGAAUCAUCGAGUUUUUGAACGCAAGUUGCGCCCGAAGCCACU